GAUGAACGCUGGCGGCGUGCCUAAUACAUGCAAGUCGAGCGAUCGGACGAGAAGCUUGCUUCUCUGAUGUUAGCGGCGGACGGGUGAGUAACACGUGGAUAACCUACCUAUAAGACUGGGAUAACUUCGGGAAACCGGAGCUAAUACCGGAUAAUAUUUUGAACCGCAUGGUUCAAAAGUGAAAGACGGUCUUGCUGUCACUUAUAGAUGGAUCCGCGCUGCAUUAGCUAGUUGGUAAGGUAACGGCUUACCAAGGCAACGAUGCAUAGCCGACCUGAGAGGGUGAUCGGCCACACUGGACCUGAGACACGGUCCAGACUCCUACGGGAGGCAGCAGUAGGGAAUCUUCCGCAAUGGGCGAAAGCCUGACGGAGCAACGCCGCGUGAGUGAUGAAGGUCUUCGGAUCGUAAAACUCUGUUAUUAGGGAAGAACAUAUGUGUAAGUAACUGUGCACAUCUUGACGGUACCUAAUCAGAAAGCCACGGCUAACUACGU
rnacentral:rRNA from 1 species